AGCCUAGCGCUAAGGCUUAAUGUGGUUGUCGCAAGGCAAUCAAAAUACAGCAUUAAGCGGUGCAGCGUUAUAAACUUUGGUGAUUAGAAGUGUCAAUGUAGUGUAUAUUUAGGCAACUAAAUAUGUGCUGCUUUCGGCCUAGCGUACAAGUCCCAUUGACUUGGGCUUAUUCUUAAUUGAGAUGUCUACGGGUUUGGGGCAACUUGGAUCCGUGGAUGAGCCAUAGAGGGUGAAAGUCCCUUAAUGCGCAGGUAUUGAUGCUACGAACCAGAGCAGUGGCGUUUGGUAAAACAGACGUUGCGAUUAUUAGAGUCGGGUUGCUUGAGAGUGCAACCUAAAGAGCGAGGUAAACUGCUCGUAAGGCUAUGUAAAUACGGCUACGACACCGAUAGCAAACAAGUACCGUGAGGGAAAGUUGCAAAGUACUUUGAAGAGAGAGUUAAACAGGGCGUGAAACCGCUAGCUGGUAAACGAGUGGAGCCACGAAGUCGUUUCGUAGAAUAUGAAAUGCAAAUUCAGCUAAGAUCCGCAAAGGUUUUAGCGUAUUUUUGCUUGUUUCACUAAUGUAAGCGUACACUGCAACCAAUUAGACGGCCAAUCGUGGAAGUAGUUUGCUUGUUAACAGGGAAACUUGUUGCUUGUAAACGUCAAAAUUUGUGUAUUUACUGUAGGUAGCUCAGUUGGAAUCUUGUAUUUCAUCGGGGUGUAUGACAUAUUGGUAAAUGCGUGAACUACGAUUGGGUACUGAUUGGAACAAUGAAAAUCGAAUCGCAAGAUUCGUGUAUUCACAGAAAGCAACUAACAUCGUAUUUGAGUACAAUUGCACGCUGUUAGUUAAAGCUUGGUAUUUUUGAAUUCAGGCACGUAUAUUGUCAAUGGGCUUGCUUAUUGAUAUAUGCGCUGUUUCCUGUCUAAUCGGGUAUUAACUUUGCUGGCAGUUUUAGUGUAAUUGCUGCGAUAGCAUUGAAUGCGAUAGUAAGUUAGCCAGUAUUGGCAGUGAGUAGGUCGGCUUUCCACACGACCCGUCUUGAAACACGGACCAAGGAGUCUAGUUAAGUAUCGAGUCGAUCGGUCUUGAUUAGGCCAGACAUCGGUUAGUUAGCUGAAAGGCAACGUUUCCGAAAUUUUAUAUACAAAUGACGGCAAAGUGAAAUCAAAUUAUAUGUGAUCUGAAGUCUAUAAAAACGGCUUACAGCGCAACAUAUGCCCAUUCGUAUGGUUAUACGCGCAAGUGUUAACUGGGUGGAGCAAAGAGAUACUUGACUGGUACCCGAAAGAUGGUGAACUAUUCCUGGCCAGAUUGAAGCCAGAGGAAACUCUGGUGGAGGAUUGUAGCGAUUCUGACGUGCAAAUCGAUCGUCAGAGCUGGGUAUAGGGGCGAAAGACUAAUCGAACCAUCUAGUAGCUGGUUCCCUCCGAAGUUUCCCUCAGGAUAGCAAGCACUCGCAGAAAUGUGAAUCAGUUUCAUCUGGUAAAGCGAAUGAUUAGAGGCCUUGGGAGCGAAACGCUCUCAACCUAUUCUCAAACUUUAAAUGGGUGAGAUGCACGACGUACUUAACUGACGCCGUGUUUUUACAGAAUGUAUUGAGUGCUUAGUGGGCCAUUUUUGGUAAGCAGAACUGGCGAUGCGGGAUGAACCGAAAGUGAAGUUAAGGUUGCCGAUAAUGGUGCUAACAAUUUGUGCACUAGCUACACUCAUGAGAUCCCAUGAAAGGUGUAAGUUGCUAAAGACAGCAAGGACGUGGCCAUGGAAGUCGGAAGAUNAUCUAAGGAGUGUGUAACAACUCACUUGCCGAAGCAACUUGCCCUGAAAAUGGAAGCAGCUCGAGUGUUGAACCUAUACUUCACCGUUGAAUUAUUGUUUAAUCAGUGAAACGAUUAGUUAUGAUUCAACGUGUAGGAGGGUUGUGUUGGUAGCGUUGAAGGCUAUGAGGGAGUGAUCCUGGCUGGAGCUGCCAAUAGUACAGAUCUUGGUGGUAGUAGCAAAUACUCAAGUGAGACCCUUGAGGGCCAAUGUGGAGAAGGGUUCCAUGCUAACAGCAAUUGGACAUGGGUCAGUCGGUCCUAAGAGAAUGGCGAAAGCUAUUUCUGAAUCAAAGGCAGUGUAUACCAAACACAAAAUUCAUGACAAACAUUUGUGUAUAUAUACACAAAUUAAACACUCAAACAAAAAGCGUUGAAAAAAAAACAUAAUGCUGUUUCGCUAAAUACUAAAUGCGUUACGAGAAAAUUUAUAUUAAUACACAAAAUUUCUAUAAAUAGAAGAACAAUUUUAAAGCAAACACAACCAUGUUUUCAACACAAAAACAAUUGAGUGUGUGUGUGUGUUUAUAUACGCGCAAAAAUGUUUUGUAUGUGUGCAAAGAACACUGUAUGACUCGAAAGGGAAUUAGGUUAAUAUUCCUAAACCAAGAUGAGGAGAUUGCUAUUUGUGCGGUUAUUCAUUUAGCUGUGCAAGUAGCAUUGGCGGUAACGCAAACAAGCACGAUGACGCCGGCGG
rnacentral:rRNA from 1 species